GUCAUAUGCUUGUCUCAAAGAUUAAGCCAUGCAUGUCUCAGUACAAGCCAAAUUAAGGUGAAACCGCGAAAGGCUCAUUAAAUCAGUUAUGGUUCCUUAGAUCGUACCCACAAUUACUUGGAUAACUGUGGUAAUUCUAGAGCUAAUACAUGCAAACAGAGCUCCGACCGGAGACGGAAGGAGUGCUUUUAUUAGAUCAAAACCAAUCGGUGGCGGGUUCGCUCGUUAUCGUACAACUUGGUGACUCUGAAUAACUUUACGCUGAUCGCACGGUCAUUGCACCGGCGACGCAUCUUUCAAAUGUCUGCCUUAUCAACUGUCGAUGGUAGGUUCUGCGCCUACCAUGGUUGUAACGGGUAACGGGGAAUCAGGGUUCGAUUCCGGAGAGGGAGCCUGAGAAACGGCUACCACAUCCAAGGAAGGCAGCAGGCGCGCAAAUUACCCACUCCCGGCACGGGGAGGUAGUGACGAAAAAUAACGAUACGGGACUCAUCCGAGGCCCCGUAAUCGGAAUGAGUACACUCUAAACCCUUUAACGAGGAUCAAUUGGAGGGCAAGUCUGGUGCCAGCAGCCGCGG
rnacentral:rRNA from 1 species